CCAAAACAAGUUGACUUAUCCUGUGAGGAUGGGACCAAUCCAUUGGUAACAUUAUCCUACACCAACACAUGGCUAUCAUGCUGCUCUAAAUCUGGCCUUUUCAUCAGGUAUCGCGACAGGUAUUCAGGCGGAGAAAUUCCUACCUGGACAGGAUGGUUAGCUGCUUUCCUUUAUAAGUAUUCAGGUGUGUAUCCAAGUGUCUCUGUAAGGGAAGGCAGUAAUCCAGGCACCUAUAUCUGGUGACUGGAUGGUCACAGAUCUGGUUUGUUCCCCUAGGUGGAGCUGUACAAAGGAAGAAUCCCCUACCUGUUUACCACCACAGGUGUUUCGUUUGCCCCUGUUUACGACAGCUACUCAGUGGCUCAAUGGAUGAUCCGGACUUCUCCUGUAGAGACGAGUGUUAAACGCUUUCAACAUGAGGUUUCUGCUAUACAGAAUUACCAAUGAGUGGGAAAAGCUGGAAUACUACCUUUGCCUCAGGCUCGGGCGGGCCCGAUGUGGGGCAUUAUACCUCAACACCACUAUCAGACCAUAGCGCCAUCAAAUGAAAGCAUUAAUGUAUAAAUAAUCUGACGUCAUUUUCAGUAUUUCUAUACAAAACACUUAAAAAUAAAAUCUAAACUUGUGGUUGUGCAAAGUAAAAAGAAAUAAAAAAUUCAGUGAUGCAAUAUAUCUAUUUGCUUGGGAAAUCCCAUAAAAAGCUAUAAAUAUAUCAUUACUUCAGUACAAACCAGAAAAUCUAUACAUACAAUGGUAGAGAGGUUGUGCUUGU